UAUUGUGAUAGCUUUUUUCUUUCUUUUUGAUUUUCUUUCAAUAAUAAGUUGCUUGAUAUGAAUACGAGAAGGUAAAUGUUUUGUGAUGUAUCCUACGUUCAAAUGAAAA
rnacentral:ribozyme from 1 species